UACGAAGGGGGCUAGCGUUGCUCGGAAUCACUGGGCGUAAAGCGCACGUAGGCGGCUUUUUAAGUCAGGGGUGAAAUCCUGGAGCUCAACUCCAGAACUGCCUUUGAUACUGAGAAGCUUGAGUCCGGGAGAGGUGAGUGGAACUGCGAGUGUAGAGGUGAAAUUCGUAGAUAUUCGCAAGAACACCAGUGGCGAAGGCGGCUCACUGGACUGGUAUUGACGCUGAGGUGCGAAAGCGUGGGGAGCAAACAGG
rnacentral:rRNA from 1 species